CUCUCAUCACCGCUUUUCCGUUCAAUCACUCUUCGAUUGCUAUUAUUGUAUUCCACUUUUUAUGCUACCGGUUAGUUUAACCCUCCACCAAUCUAUAUUUUGUCUUCUACCUUCCAGUUCCUUCCACCGCUUCCAUUUUCGUCUCCUAAACUGAGUCGCCCUUACAGUUUCUCACCGUCUCCACAACGCCACUGUUCCAUCGCUACCUGCUCCUUUAAUACACCGACUGACUCCUUGCUUCGUUCUUUAAAGAACCCAAACGCCUUACUUCGUUCUUUAUUACACUACCACUUCUUUCCACCGCUUCCAUUCUUAUGAUCCAUUUUUGUUCCUCCUGCUUACUAACCCUACUGACCCUCGACCAUACUGAUUUUGUUCCUCCUUCAUCAAAGCACUUCCCUAUACCACCUUUUAAAACCAUCGAUUAAGGAUGCCGAAAUCGGAGACGACGAUCGACACGCGUACACAUCCGCAUCGUUUUCUCCGGACGUUAGCUCAUAUUCUAUUGCCUAUGCUCCAUCUUCGGCCUUCUCAGUUUUUGAAUUGAUUAGAGGUUGUCGUCUUGUGAAGAUCCAUAAACGACCAACAAUGGAACAUUUUUUGAAGCAAGGUGGCCUCCGUUGACUUUAGAUGGGAAGAUGCAAAUCUUAUGUAUCGAGAAGGGUUGAAGAAGGAGAAGAAUCGACAUUGAGACUUCAGUGGUGGACGCUGUGAAUUGAAGACAUAAACAAACAAGAUCGUAUUUCUAGAUUAAAUGAUGAAAACACUUCCUUGAAGAAAAACCUCGAUGCAUCUAGAAGUGAGGGUUUGGAAGUCUUGGGCAAAUAGCCCAAACGGGUCUGUAACACACUAAAUUUUUCAUUUUUAAAAACACAAUCUCACAAUUUGAAAAACACAAUUGUAUAAGUUGUUCAAAACACAAGACAACAAAGUGUUUGGUAAUAUCCCAGAAUCCUCAAAAACAUAAUCUCUAUAUUGUGUGUACAAUCAAGUCUGUGCCUUCACGCGAUCCUGAGAGGUACCUGAAACACAUAUCACACAACACGGUAAGCACGAAGUUAAGUAAGUUCCCCAAAAUACCACAUACACAAACAAUAAGCCUCUCAUGGCUAUAGCUGAGCAUGGACCCUCCAGUCAUGCGUCUCAGUGAGGACCCUCCGGUCUCACGGCUCGGUAUGGACCCUCCGGUCAUGUGUCUCAGUGAAGACCCUCCGGUCUCACAUGUCGGGUUGGACCCUCUAGUCUUGUAUCUUAAUGAAGACCCUCCAAUCUCACAACAUGGGUUGGACCCUCCAGUCCGGUAUCUCGGUUUGGACCCUCCAGUCGUAACUCAGUAAGGCAUAGAAUAAUAUACAGCAUAAAUCACAAAGACAAAAUGCAUAAUAUCACAUAACUCAGUAUAAGCACAUAAGACCCGCUGAUCGAUAACUCAAAUAAGACCCUCCGGUCACACAAUAUUACCACUCAGGUAAGUAUAGUGAGAAGACUCACCUUGUAGAGUAAAGCAAUAUAUCCUACACUCGAAUUGCUGGUCUGGACUCCACCCUCCUUAGCCUCCAAAAUCCACAGCUUGACCAAAACCCUAAAGUCAAUGGAAGUCAACAGUCAAAGCUAACCCAACUCGUCGAGUGCAACUCAUCUACACGUCGAUUUCCUCAGUACUCAAUAAACCAUGAAAACCCGAGUCAACUCGCCGAGUUGCUAGCCAACUCGUCGAGUCCAUGUAGAGUCUAGAAGAUCGGGGAAAACCCUAGCCACUCGUCAAGUUGUGCCACCAACUCUUCGAGUUCACUCUAAAUCCAAAAAUAGGAAAACCCGACUCGACUCGUCGAGUUCUUCAUACAUUACACAUUUAACUCAUUCCAUUCGAUUCCAAUGCUCCAAACUCUAGAUCCAACCUCCUAGGAUGAAGUUACCACGUAAAGUUGCUAACUUUAUGAUCAUGCAAGGCCUCACAAGGCUAAAACACCCAAUACUAAGCUCAAGAAGGAGGUUAGGACAUGAAGACGGGUUAAAGCUUCAUAAAUCUUGAAUCUUUAAGCCUAAAGGCCCUAGUAGUGUCCAGAUCUAAGGUCUCACAGCUCCAUAGCAUGCUCACAACCAUUAAUGACUCAAGGAGAAGCUAGAAAGGGCCAUAAACUCCCUAAUGGAGAGAUCUAACAAAGAAGAAGUCAAGGUAUUAAAUUUUUACCUUCAAAUGACUGCUACCACUGAGAUGAUGUCGGAUCCAAAGACUCAUUCUUGUUCCAAGCUUCUUCUCUUCAAGAAAUGCACCAAAAACCCACCCACUAUUAGCUCUAAACACUCUCAAAUGGAAGGUACUCAAUUAGGGUUUGUCUCAGGGUGGUAAAGUGAUGAGGGAGGCAGGGUAAAGGAGUUAAAGCCCUUUAAAUAGGGUGCAAGCCCGAAUAAUUAGGGUUUCAUUAAACAGACUCAACUCGCCGAGUCCAAUCCUCCGACUCGACGAGUAGACUUCAUAUCCCGCGUAUCCUGCUCAACUCCUACACGACGAGUUGGGACCAACCAACUCGUCGAGUAGGUCCUCUAAUGCGAAUCAACUUCUCAAAUUUCUCAUUCAGGAAAUCGGGGUGUUACAGGGUCAAAGUGCCUAACGAUCUCCCCUUUGCAAAUCAAAGAGGGGUGGGCUCAAGGAUACUUAUCCAGAUGAUAUACUUGCCCCAGUUUUGAAGCAUUGAUAGAAAAAACAAAUAUUAAUCCAGCUGAAGUUGGAGACACUGUUGUUGGAUCAGUAUUGGGACCAGCCUCCCAAAGAGCAAGUGAAUGUAGGAUGGCUUCUUUCUAUGUUGGCUUUCCCGGUAUUUAUGAUGGGCUUGCAUCUAUAACCACCAAUCCUAUGGCUUCGGAAGGAUUUGUUAAUCCAAAAGUGAAAACCAUGGCACAAGCCCAAGAUUGUCUUCUUCCAAUGCGAAUCACAUCAGAAAAUGUCGUCCAACGCUUCAAAGUAACAAGACAGGAACAAGAUUAGGCUACAGUGAG